GAGGCGCGGCGGCGAGACUGGCGGUGCGGCGGAAAGAGACACACAGUUGCUUUUAAUUUUUUGAAGAAAAUUAAAUUAAAAAAAAUACCCAAUAUAUAUACGUAUAUUUUUAUUUUAAAAUAAAAUUCCUAGCUCAAAAGAUGUCAUUUAGUAAACCUCACUCAACCCCAUCAAAUUAUCUUCAACACAUCAAUUUCCAAAUAUUCGAUGAAAUUCUCAUCCUCGCUAGUUCCCAGGAUGUGGGGAUUAGGCGGAAAUCAUUAUUGGGGAAGAAAGGAGAAGGGGGAAGUGAAAGGAAUAGUUGUGGUAUUUGCAUGGAUGUCAAGUCAGGAGAAGCAUUUGCAGAAUUAUAUCGAUCUCUACUCUUCUCUCGGGUGGAAUUCCAUUGUUUGCCAAGCUCAAUUCCUCAAUUCUUGAUUCCAUGGAGUUUGAUAUCGGUGAUUGUUGAUUAAGAUGAUUGCGGAAUAAACUACUUUGCUCCGGCUUGAAAUGCUGUUCAUUAGGCAUAACUAGUUUAACACCCGUGCGAAGAAACAGAGCACCAUUUAGCUCCUUUGCUCGGUUCGGGUUUAUUUAUAUGGCUGAUGGAAGUCGGGUUGAUUGUUUGACAUUACGUUCAGUAAGUUUGAUCUGUUUGAAUUGCUUGCAUAAUAGCUAUGGAAGUUGUCGUUGAGCCUUUAAUACCUCUUUAUCUUUUACUCUCGUAUGUGAAGGACGUGUGUGUGUGUGCAUCUCUUGUUCGUUUCGAGUUGCAACUUGUAAGGAAAAAAACUGAUAUUCUCUUCGUUAGCAGAUUUUUUCCAGAUAAGGCUGCAUCGUUGGCUCGGGAAAUAGUUAUUGAGCUCAUUCAGGUGCAGGAAUUAAAAAUAAGGCCCAUGGCAUGGCGUCUUAGGUGAGGUGAGUUCCUCUUCGACGUUUGGGUUCCAAAGAAUGUUGAUGAUUGGGACAUGAGAUUUUCGCCCUCCAUGAGAAGCGCGUUUGGGCGGAGGGCUUCUCCUUUCAAUCCUAUAAACCGCAUCGAUCCUUCGCUCUAGAUUAUGAUGGUUCGGCUUCAUAACAAGAAGGCACUUUAUGGCCGCGAAAGAGCAUUUUUAUCACUUCAAGAUUACUUUUCGGGCAAGAAGACGAAGAAGCUUCGUCUGCUGUUUUUCGACACCGUUUCCACCACCUGGAAUUUCUUGGACUGUAAGUGGCAGUACUAACAUUUGACGCAAGAUGUAUAGCAAUAAAGGUUAUGUAGCUUUGUAAUUUAACUUUGUAUCAAUGUUUUCUUGAGGGUAAAUAAUGGAAUAGAUUUAUGUAUCAUAA